AACGAACGCUGGCGGCAUGCCUAACGCAUGCAAGUCGAACGAGACCUUCGGGUCUAGUGGCGCACGGGUGCGUAACGCGUGGGAACCUGCCCUUAGGUUCGGAAUAACUCCCCGAAAGGGGUGCUAAUACCGGAUAAUGUCUUCGGACCAAAGAUUUAUCGCCUUUGGAUGGGCCCGCGUUGGAUUAGCUAGUUGGUAGGGUAAAAGCCUACCAAGGCGACGAUCCAUAGCUGGUCUGAGAGGAUGAUCAGCCACACUGGGACUGAGACACGGCCCAGACUCCUACGGGAGGCAGCAGUGGGGAAUAUUGGACAAUGGGCGAAAGCCUGAUCCAGCAAUGCCGCGUGAGUGAUGAAGGCCUUAGGGUUGUAAAGCUCCUUUACCCGGGAUGAUAAUGACAGUACCGGGAGAAUAAGCUCCGGCUAACUCCGUG
rnacentral:rRNA from 1 species